AAAUUUUGCUUCUUCUUUAUCUCUCGCACAAAGUCUUUCUCUCGGCAAACUGUCUCUCAAAACUCUUGGCCAAAAUUUUGCUUUCCCACAAAGUUUUUCCUGUUGAAUCUCUCCGCAAUCAAACUAUCCUUGCUUUCCCAUUGAAGGGAUGUAAUUCCAUGAUAAAUUUUUGCCCUAAAUUGAUUUCUCUCGGUUGCCUAAAUUUUUGCCCUCUGCCUCUCUCGGCCACUUUCCUCUCCUCUGCUCCCUACCUCUGCCGUCCCGUCGCCCCUACUCUUUCCCUCUCAUCAUCAGGUUUAGGUUCGUCAAAACCAGAAAAUGGAACAACAUGACAUUGAAAAGGACGAGUUCGAAUUCUCCAAAAACAACGAAGCCCUAAUUUUUGGUCCCGCUUCUCAAAUCUCGCGGUUUCGCUACGUCGUCGACAUCGGCUGCUGCAAAUUCUUCUUCAUCCUCAACGGCAUCGUCUCAAUUCACCUACACUACCGGCACGUACUUUCCGACUCCGUUUCACCUACAACAGCCGCAAACCUAUGUCGCUGCUGCCGCUGCCGCUUCAAUUCUGCAAUUUCCUGCUCGUCCUCCUGCGGUUCCCCACGUUUAUCCUGCUCCCGCUACAGUCCCUACCGUGUACUCCCUCCCUCAGUAUCAACAGGUCAUCAGUCUCUGUGACUGUAGGUUUGAAAGGAACGUAUAACACAAGGCCGAGACUAAGAAGAAAGCAGUACCUCGUAAGGCAGCAGGGCAGGCAUGGGAGGAUCCUACACUUGCAGAUUGGCCAGAGAAUGAUUCUCGUUUGUUCUGUGGUGAUCUUGGUAAUGAGUUGAAUGAUGAUGUUCUAUCCAAAGCAUUUUCAAGAUUUCCAUCUUUUAACAUGGCCAGGGAUUGGCACUAACCUCUACUAAAGCAUAGCUGGACUGCUCCACCUAGAGAUGGCUGAAGGAAGUGGAAAUGAGGAGACAACUCUUGAGCAUACAUCAACAUGGGCAGUGGUAGUUGUUUGUUUCAUCUUGAUGAGCCCAAACAAUGUACUAUAUAUAUACUAUACCUCUCGCGGAUCGUUGCUAAUAUUGUACAAUUACGUUACCUGACUUUUAGCAUUUCUUUCAACUUGUUAGGGAUGAGAGUCUUUUUGUCUGUGCACAAGAAAGUCUUUCAAGUUAUUGUAAAUGAGAAUCUUUCGGUACUUUAUUGGGAUUUUAGUACUUGCUUUGAGCA